UACGGGAGGCAGCAGUAGGGAAUUUUCCACAAUGGACGAAAGUCUGAUGGAGCAACGCCGCGUGCAGGAUGAAGGCUUUCGGGUCGUAAACUGCUUUUAUUUGUGAUGAAUAUGACAGUAGCAAAUGAAUAAGGGACGGCUAACUACGUGCCAGCAGCCGCGGUAAU
rnacentral:rRNA from 1 species